rnacentral:rRNA from 1 species
UACGGGAGGCAGCAGUGGGGAAUAUUGCACAAUGGGCGCAAGCCUGAUGCAGCCAUGCCGCGUGUAUGAAAAAGGCCUUCGGGUUGUAAAGUACUUUCAGUCGUGAGGAAGGUGUUAAGGUUAAUAACCUUAGCAAUUGACGUUAGCGACAGAAGAAGCACCGGCUAACUCCGUGCCAGCAGCCGCGGUAAUACGGAGGGUGCGAGCGUUAAUCGGAAUUACUGGGCGUAAAGGGCACGCAGGCGGUUAAUUAAGUUGGAUGUGAAAUCCCCGGGCUUAACCUGGGAAUGGCAUUCAAGACUGGUUAGCUAGAGUCUUGUAGAGGGGGUAGAAUUCCAUGUGUAGCGGUGAAAUGCGUAGAGAUGUGGAGGAAUACCGGUGGCGAAGGCGGCCCCUGGGACAAAGGCUGACGCUCAUGUGCGAAAGCGUGGGGAGCAAACAGGGAUUAGAUACC